GGGGAUUAGUGGCGAACGGGUGAGUAACACGUGGGCAAUCUGCCCUUCACUCUGGGACAAGCCCUGGAAACGGGGUCUAAUACCGGAUACGACCUCCGACCGCAUGGUCUGGUGGUGGAAAGCUCCGGCGGUGAAGGAUGAGCCCGCGGCCUAUCAGCUUGUUGGUGGGGUGAUGGCCUACCAAGGCGACGACGGGUAGCCGGCCUGAGAGGGCGACCGGCCACACUGGGACUGAGACACGGCCCAGACUCCUACGGGAGGCAGCAGUGGGGAAUAUUGCACAAUGGGCGAAAGCCUGAUGCAGCGACGCCGCGUGAGGGAUGACGGCCUUCGGGUUGUAAACCUCUUUCAGCAGGGAAGAAGCGAGAGUGACGGUACCUGCAGAAGAAGCGCCGGCUAACUACGUGCCAGCAGCCGCGGUAAUACGUAGGGCGCAAGCGUUGUCCGGAAUUAUUGGGCGUAAAGAGCUCGUAGGCGGCUUGUCGCGUCGGAUGUGAAAGCCCGGGGCUUAACCCCGGGUCUGCAUUCGAUACGGGCAGGCUAGAGUUCGGUAGGGGAGAUCGGAAUUCCUGGUGUAGCGGUGAAAUGCGCAGAUAUCAGGAGGAACACCGGUGGCGAAGGCGGAUCUCUGGGCCGAUACUGACGCUGAGGAGCGAAAGCGUGGGGAGCGAACAGGAUUAGAUACCCUGGUAGUCCACGCCGUAAACGUUGGGAACUAGGUG
rnacentral:rRNA from 1 species